rfam:Danio rerio chromosome 4, GRCz11 reference primary assembly.
GCCUGGCUAGCUCAGUCGGUAGAACAUGUGACUCUUAAUCUCAGGGUCGUGGGUUCGAGCCGCACGUUGGGUG